rnacentral:rRNA from 1 species
GGGCCCGCACAAGCGGUGGAGCAUGUGGUUUAAUUCGAUGAUACGCGAGGAACCUUACCAGGGCUUAAAUGUAAGUUGCAUUAGUUAGAGAUAGCUAUUUCUUCGGACCACUUACAAGGUGCUGCAUGGUUGUCGUCAGCUCGUGCCGUGAGGUGUCAGGUUAAGUCCUAUAACGAGCGCAACCCCUGUUGUUAGUUGCCAGCGAGUCAUGUCGGGAACUCUAACAAGACUGCCGGUGCAAACCGUGAGGAAGGUGGGGAUGACGUCAAAUCAUCACGGCCCUUACGUCCUGGCUACACACGUGCUACAAUGGUCGGUACAGAGAGCAGCCACUACGCGAGUAGGAGCGAA